GAUAAACUAUCAAAAACAAUCCCAGCGCUCCAUUUUGGUGGCAAUUUUUAGAAGUAAUCUUUAGCUUCAAUAUUUGCGACACACUCACCAUAGUUUCCAAACAUUAACCUAACCUCAACUGAAUUGUUAAAAACACGUGCUCUAAAAAUGAAGUCUGUGUCAAAACAAGGAAUAUCUUUUGAUGGAACUGAUACUGCUUCCAAAAGUAAAAGAAUAAAAUUCGAUGAUGAGGGAGAAAUUGAAGCACCUAAAAAACGAAAAUUACUGCUAGAAAGUGAUGGCGAUGAAGAAGAAGAUGAAGAAUUUAUAUUUCCAGAGGAUAGUGAAUUUAAAUCUAAAUCGAGAGCUAAGUUGGCAAAACUUCAAUCCUCAAUUGGAAAUGACGAACGAUUUGCUGUGGAUGAGCGUUUCUUGGAUGAUGAGGACCUCGAAGAUAAACAGAAAGAAGAAGGAGCAGAAGAAAUUGAUGAAUAUGACGAUGAAAAAAAGAAACAAUUAGAAAUUCUAGGAAGCAUUCUUGGAAAGCCCAUAACUGCUAAACCGAGUCAAACUGAAAAUGACAAGAAGACAAAGACUUUGAGCAAAAUGGUUCGAUAUGAUCCGACUGAUGAACAGCAUCAAGAAUACGAAAUUUUACCCGAGAAACAAGAAAAAGUUAAAAAGAAAAAGAAGAAACAAGUUGAAAUUGUUGAAAAACCGGAACUGCCAGAAGUUUCGAAAGAACGUUCUUAUUCAAUUCCUAAUGUUAAAUUAUUAUCAUCCGUUUUCGGAAAAGAAGAAAAGACUAGUUUAUUAGAAAUAUUUGGAAAAAAAUCAACAGAAUCAGAUGACGAAAAAGUCGAAUCCUCACAUGAACGUGAUACAAGAAAUAAAAUAUUUGGAUUCAGUUCAAGCAAAGCUUUCAAGUAUGAUACUUCAGAUGAUGAAGAUGUUAAUGAAGAUUUGCACAAGACAGACAGCAAAUUUGAAUCAGAAAAAGUAGAAUCUACAAAUUUCAUUGGUAGCACUGAGAGAUUUUUGUUUGUUAUUGACGAUCCUCGAUUUCAAGAAUGUGAAGAAUUUUUCAAGAGGCGAUCAGAACAUAGUGAAGAUUUAAAGACUCUUCGUCCCAAAUUAAAGCAAACAAUACGAAAAAGGAUACGAACAAAUUUGAAAAAAAAUUCUGCUCCACACAAAAGGCUGAAGAGAAAGUAUUAGUCUUCUAAUAUAAAGUUUAGAGGAUAAUUACUUCGUGAAAUGCAUCAACGAGAUUUAGAUAGCAAGAUUUUCCCUUGAAAUGAAUUUGAAUAAGUUGAUAGAUCAUUUGUUCAACUAAAAUUCCAUCAUUGACGGCUGAAAGUCCGAUAUCAUUGAGACGAUACCAGCACGGUUGUCCUCGACGAGUUGUUGCGUUAUCCAUAAUAUCAUCCUCCAUCAACAAAAAUGCUUGCAUCUGAAAAUUUCAAUAUAAGAUCCAACACCGUCCUGAAGAUACCAACACGGUUGUCCUCGGCGAGUUACUGAGUUAUCCAUAAUAUCAUCCUCCAUCAACAAAAAUGCUUGCAGCUAAAAAUAGAUUAAAAACAAAGAUUUUUUUAUUUAACAAAUUAUAUUUAUUUAAU